GCUUACUUGGUGAAAUGGUAAACACGACAGACUUAAAAUCUGUUCCUUUUUGGUUGUCGGUUCAAGUCCGACAGUAAGCA
rnacentral:tRNA from 1 species